GACGAACGCUGGCGGCGUGCUUAACACAUGCAAGCCGAACGGUGAAGCGCCUUCCUUUUUGGUGGGUGUGGAUGAGUGGCGAACGGGUGAGUAACACGUGAGUAACCUGCCCCCUUCUUCUGGAUAACCGCAUGAAAGUGUGGCUAAUACGGGAUAUUCUGGGUCUGUCGCAUGAUGGGUCUGGGAAAGAUAUUGUUUCGGUGGGGGAUGGGCUCGCGGCCUAUCAGCUUGUUGGUGGGGUGAUGGCCUACCAAGGCGGUGACGGGUAGCCGGCCUGAGAGGGUGGACGGUCACACUGGGACUGAGACACGGCCCAGACUCCUACGGGAGGCAGCAGUGGGGAAUAGUGCACAAUGGGCGCAAGCCUGAUGCAGCGACGCCGCGUGAGGGAUGGAGGCCUUCGGGUUGUGAACCUCUUUCGCCAGUGAAGCAGGCCUGCCUCGUUUGUGGGUGGGUUGACGGUAGCUGGAUAAGAAGCGCCGGCUAACUACGUG
rnacentral:rRNA from 1 species